rnacentral:rRNA from 1 species
GACAGAGGGUGCAAACGUUGUUCGGAAUUACUGGGCGUAAAGCGUGUGUAGGCGGUCCACUAAGUCGGGUGUGAAAGCCCUGGGCUCAACCCAGGAAGUGCACUCGAAACUGGCGGGCUAGAGUAUCGGAGAGGUUGGUGGAAUUCUCGGUGUAGAGGUGAAAUUCGUAGAUAUCGAGAGGAACACCGGUGGCGAAGGCGGCAAACUGGACGAAUACUGACGCUGAGACACGAAAGCGUGGGGAGCAAACAGG